AUCCUGCCACCCCAGGACCAAUGCCUACCGAGAGCCCCACAGUGGCAACACACACUCCGACAAACUCAUACUGCCCCAGAUCAACAACCAGCACAGAAACUCCACACACGCCUCUGCACAGAACGUCAAAACUCACAGAAAAGGAAAGAGUCAUCCUUCCAAAGGACCAAAGGCCAGUAGACAACAGCGAGACGACUUGGAGGAGAACCUGAGCUCCCUUUCACUGGAGGAGGAGAUGGACAUCAUACUGAACUGAAUACAUAAUAAUAAUA